rnacentral:rRNA from 1 species
CCUACGGGAGGCAGCAGUGAGGAAUAUUGGACAAUGGGCGCAAGCCUGAUCCAGCCAUGCCGCGUGCAGGAAGAAGCAUCUAUGGUGUGUAAACUGCUUUUGUACGGGAAGAAACACUCCUACGUGUAGGAGCUUGACGGUACCGUAAGAAUAAGGAUCGGCUAACUCCGUGCCAGCAGCCGCGGUAAUACGGAGGAUCCAAGCGUUAUCCGGAAUCAUUGGGUUUAAAGGGUCCGUAGGCGGUUUAAUAAGUCAGUGGUGAAAUCUGGUCGCUUAACGAUCAAACGGCCAUUGAUACUGUUAGACUUGAAUUAUUGUGAAGUAACUAGAAUAUGUAGUGUAGCGGUGAAAUGCUUAGAUAUUACAUGGAAUACCAAUUGCGAAGGCAGGUUACUAACAAUAUAUUGACGCUGAUGGACGAAAGCGUGGGGAGCGAACAGGAUUAGAUACCCUGGUAGUCCACGCCGUAAACGAUGGAUACUAGCUGUUGGGCGCAAGUUCAGUGGCUAAGCGAAGUGAUAAGUAUCCACCUGGGGAGACGUUCGCAAGAUUGAAACUUNAAAGGAUUGNGNGNGAGAGNGCGAGNGACGACGAGGAGAG